UUAUUAAAUGAAUAGGCCUGAAAUUUGUCCACAGCAGUUCAGACACUUGGAACCAAAUGGUGAUCUUGAAAAUUGUGUUUACCAAAGUGUAUAUAUGUAGCCCUGCCUGUUCUUUUUCUCUUUCAGAAACUGAUUAGGCUUUUCUGUUUAACCCCUUAAGGACACAUGACAUGUCAUGAUUCCCUUUUAUUCCAGAAGUUUGGUCCUUGUGGGGUUAAUGGACUUAAAGUGGAUUCUGUACUGUUUACAAGACAGUAAAUUUCUCCCCUGAUCGACAGAAUUAACUAUUUUGAUAAG